rnacentral:rRNA from 1 species
UACAGAGGUCUCAAGCGUUGUUCGGAUUCAUUGGGCGUAAAGGGUGUGUAGGUGGCGCGCUAAGUCGGGCGUGAAAUUUCGGAGCUUAACUCCGAAACUGCAUUCGAUACUGGCGUGCUUGAGGACUGGAGAGGAGACUGGAAUUUACGGUGUAGCAGUGAAAUGCGUAGAUAUCGUAAGGAAGACCAGUGGCGAAGGCGGGUCUCUGGACAGUUCCUGACACUGAGACACGAAGGCCAGGGGAGCAAACGGG